CAGUCAGAGGCGAUGAAGGACGUGCUAAUCUGCGAUAAGCGUCGGUGAGGUGAUAUGAACCGUUAUAACCGGCGAUUUCCGAAUGGGGAAACCCAGUGUGUUUCGACACACUAUCAUUAACUGAAUCCAUAGGUUAAUGAGGCGAACCGGGGGAACUGAAACAUCUAAGUACCCCGAGGAAAAGAAAUCAACCGAGAUUCCCCCAGUAGCGGCGAGCGAACGGGGAGGAGCCCAGAGCCUGAAUCAGUGUGUGUGUUAGUGGAAGCGUCUGGAAAGGCGCGCGAUACAGGGUGACAGCCCCGUACACAAAAAUGCACAUAUUGUGAGCUCGAUGAGUAGGGCGGGACACGUGGUAUCCUGUCUGAAUAUGGGGGGACCAUCCUCCAAGGCUAAAUACUCCUGACUGACCGAUAGUGAACCAGUACCGU
rnacentral:rRNA from 1 species